AGUGACUGUCCUCUAUUGACCAAUCAACAGACUGCAGUGUUCACAGCUCCACCUUUUAGUACCAGAUCUGUGUGCUAGGUACCCCAACAGAGGGGGGACCAAAAAUGUGGACAGUACGGAUUGAUUCCAUUGGCACCAUCCACAACUUUUCACAGUGGAAACGGAAAAAAAGUGCACCAAACUGAACCAUACCGUACAGGUUGGUGGAAACGGGGCUUUAGAGACUGAAUCUGAACUGCAGAGCCUCCACAUGAUGCUGUCAGUAUCCAGCCAGCUGCACAGCCAGCCACACUGAGGCCACUCUCCCGACCUCAGACACAGUACACUUCAGUUGCUUUGUCUUCCGAUCCAGCAGUAGCACCUUAAACAACCUUAAUACAGCUGAUAUGGCACACAAGCUAAUUUGACCAUAUCUCAUUAAAGUGGAUUCAUGAUUUUUAUCCCCCGCGCUGUCCAACCCCCUCCAGACUAACUUGCAGUGAAAGCCUGCAACCACGGCAACUGCAAAGCACCGAAACUUUUUAAUGAGGGAUACACUAUAUCUCUCAUUUCUGUUAUGAAUUCAAAUGUAUCCCAUUUUCACACAGACAAUGCAUUUAUCUUAUUUGAAUACUAAUAUGACAUUAUAUUAAUUAUGAUUACUGUUUUUCAGUUUGCUACCAUCUAAUAUAAUUUAUGUAUCACUAUAUAUGCUCAUAUGUGUUGCCUUGCUGUUGUAAAAUGUACAUACUGAACUCAAAUAAACACUUUCUUAUAGGAGCAGUUUUAA